rnacentral:lncRNA from 1 species
GGUGACGGUGACACGGUGACGGUGACAUGGUGACACGGUGUCAUGGUGGCAGUGACAUGGUGACGGUGGUGACAUGGUGAGGGUGUCACGAUGACAGUGAUGGUGACACGGUGACAUGGUGAUGGUGGUGACAGUGGUGACAUGGUGACGGUGACUUGGUGACAGUGACGGUGUCGCGGUGAUGGUGACACGGUGACACAGUGAUGGUGACAUGGUGACGUGAUGGUGGUGGUGAUGGUGGUGACAUGGUGAUGGUGUCAUGGUGACAUGGUGACAUUGACAUGGUGACACAAUGGUGGUGGUGACAGUGGUGACAUGGUGACAGUGACACGGUGAUGGUGACACAGUGACGGUGACACGGUGACAGUGACAUGGUGACACGAUGGUGGUGAUGGUGGUGACACGGUGACAGUGUCGUGGUGAUGGUGUCAUGGUGACAGUGACAUGGUGACGCGGUGACAGUGUCAUGGUGACACAAUGGUGACGGUGACACGGUGACAGUGUCAUGGUGACACAAUGGUGACGGUGACGCGGUGACAGUGUCAUGGUGACACAAUGGUGACGGUGACACGGUGACGGUGACAUGGUGACGUGAUGGUGGUGGUGAUGGUGGUGACAUGGUGACAGUGACGGUGACACAGUGACAUGGUGACGUGGUGACGGUGACAUGGUGACGUGGUGAUGGUGACACGGUGACGGUGACAUGGUGACAUGGUGACAUGGUGGUGAUGACGGUGGUGACGCGGUGACAGUGUCAUGGUGACACAAUGGUGACGGUGACACGGUGACGGUGACAUGGUGACAUGACGGUGGUGACAUGGUGAUGGUGACAUGAUGACACAAUGGUGGUGGUGAUGGUGGUGACACGGUGUCGGUGCCCCCCCCCCCCGCUGGGCGCGCGGCUGCGGGGGUGCGUGGCCGACUUCGGGCUGUCGAAGCCGGUGGGGGGGGGGGCAGUACUACCGGCAGGGCCGCGUCGCCCCCGUCCCCGUCAAGUGGGUGGCCCUGGAGAGCCUGGCCGACCGCGUCUACACCACCAAGAGCGACGUG